rnacentral:rRNA from 1 species
GAUGAACGCUGGCGGCGUGCCUAAUACAUGCAAGUCGAGCGAACGGACGAGAAGCUUGCUUCUCUGAUGUUAGCGGCGGACGGGUGAGUAACACGUGGAUAACCUACCUAUAAGACUGGGAUAACUUCGCGAAACCGGAGCUAAUACCGGAUAAUAGUUUGAACCGCAUGGUUCAAAAGUGAAAGACGGUCUUGCUGUCACUUAUAGAUGGAUCCUCGCUGCAUUAGCUAGUUGGUAAGGUAACGGCUUACCAAGGCAACGAUGCAUAGCCGACCUGAGAGGGUGAUCGGCCACACUGGAACUGAGACACGGUCCAGACUCCUACGGGAGGCAGCAGUAGGGAAUCUUCCGCAAUGGGCGAAAGCCUGACGGAGCAACGCCGCGUGAGUGAUGAAGGUCUUCGGAUCGUAAAACUCUGUUAUUAGGGAAGAACAUAUGUGUAAGUAACUGUUCACAUCUUGACGGUACCUACUCAGAAAGCCACGGCUAACUACGUG